rnacentral:rRNA from 1 species
GACGAACGCUGGCGGCGUGCUUAACACAUGCAAGUCGAACGGAAAGGCCCUGCUUUUGUGGGGUGCUCGAGUGGCGAACGGGUGAGUAACACGUGAGUAACCUGCCCUUGACUUUGGGAUAACUUCAGGAAACUGGGGCUAAUACCGGAUAGGAGCUCCUGCUGCCUGGUGGGGGUUGGAAAGUUUCGGCGGUUGGGGAUGGACUCGCGGCUUAUCAGCUUGUUGGUGGGGUAGUGGCUUACCAAGGCUUUGACGGGUAGCCGGCCUGAGAGGGUGACCGGCCACAUUGGGACUGAGAUACGGCGCAGACUCCUACGGGAGGCAGCAGUGGGGAAUAUUGCACAAUGGGCGGAAGCCUGAUGCAGCAACGCCGCGUGCGGGAUGACGGCCUUCGGGUUGUAAACCGCUUUCGCCUGUGACGAAGCGUGAGUGACGGUAAUGGGUAAAGAAGCACCGGCUAACUACGUG